rnacentral:misc_RNA from 1 species
AUAUAUAUAUCAAACUUCUCUUGUAGAGUUGUUUUGGAUGUGGGGGUAUUGCUGGCCUCUUUUCAAAAAGGGGGGUGGGGUCAGCUCUCCUGAAAUGCAUUAGCAGAACGACCUGUUGUUCAUUGGCGUGAUAACUUAUCUAUGCUAUUGAAUCUGAAGGGAGGUUCAGCUUUCUAACAGUCUUUGGACAAAUUCAUCAUUA